GGUUGUGGCUCAGUGGUAGAGCAUGUGCCUUGCGCGUGUGAGACACUGAGUUCAAUCCUCAGCACCA
rnacentral:tRNA from 1 species